rnacentral:rRNA from 1 species
CCUACGGGUGGCAGCAGUGGGGAAUAUUGCACAAUGGGGGAAACCCUGAUGCAGCGACGCCGCGUGAGUGAAGAAGUAAUUCGUUAUGUAAAGCUCUAUCAGCAGGGAAGAAAAUGACGGUACCUGAGUAAGAAGCCCCGGCUAACUACGUGCCAGCAGCCGCGGUAAUAAGUAGGGGGCAAGCGUUAUCCGGAUUUACGGGGUGUAAAGGGAGCGUAGACGGCAGUGCAAGUCUGGAGUGAAAGGCGGGGGCUCAACCCCCGGACUGCUCUGGAAACUGUACGGCUGGAGUGCAGGAGAGGUAAGUGGAAUUCCUAGUGUAGCGGUGAAAUGCGUAGAUAUUAGGAGGAACACCAGUGGCGAAGGCGGCUUACUGGACUGUAACUGACGUUGAGGCUCGAAAGCGUGGGGAGCAAACAGGAUUAGAUACCCGAGUAGUC